GUAGGGUGCGAGCGUUGUCCGGAAUUAUUGGGCGUAAAGAGCUCGUAGGCGGUCUGUCGCGUCGGUCGUGAAAACUUGGGGCUUAACCCUGAGCUUGCGGUCGAUACGGGCAUGACUGGAGUUCGGCAGGGGAGACUGGAAUUCCUGGUGUAGCGGUGAAAUGCGCAGAUAUCAGGAGGAACACCGGUGGCGAAGGCGGGUCUCUGGGCCGAUACUGACGCUGAGGAGCGAAAGCGUGGGGAGCGAACAGGAUUAGAUACCCUGGUAGUCCACGCCGUAAACGGUGGGCGCUAGGUGUGGGGGCCAUUCCACGGUCUCUGUGCCGCAGCUAACGCAUUAAGCGCCCCGCCUGGGGAGUACGGCCGCAAGGCUAAA
rnacentral:rRNA from 1 species